UACCAGCACCCCGAGUGGUCGGGACGUUAUUGGGCCUAAAGCAUCCGUAGCCGGUCAUGCAAGUCUUCCGUUAAAUCCAGCCGCUCAACGGUUGGGCUGCGGAGGAUACUACGUGGCUAGGAGGCGGGAGAGGCAAGCGGUACUCAGUGGGUAGGGGUAAAAUCCUUUGAUCCAUUGAAGACCACCAGUGGCGAAGGCGGC
rnacentral:rRNA from 1 species